CGACUCCUUCUUCAACCCGUCUGGGUCCAGCUCCUUCUCUGUCUGGAAUGCCCACGGCAGGAGUGGAGAGUCAAGGGUUUGGAGAGUGAGGUCAGUGGUCCGUGCUCUACUGGAGACUAAUAUCUAAGUCUCAUCCCUCUCUCUGAUCCCGCAUUCCUAUUGUUCCCCCCCCCCCACUUUAUUAAGUAAACAGCCGCCAGCUGAGCGUACCCUGUCCCAGGCCCCUUGGGCUGGAUGCUGACUUCGUCCCCCACCCAGCCCGCAGCCUGCCCCGCCCCACAGGGGCAGCCGCCCUGCUCACCUCCCGGAUGAUGUUCUCCAGUUCCCGCUCCAUGCCAGCCUUCACCUCCGAACGGAGCCUGGCUCGGUCUGACGGGAGCAGUAUUCCUUCCAGUUCCUUCUCAAAUUCUCCCAGUAACUGCUGUUCAUCUUCAUCUUCGUCUUCAUCCUCGUCCUCCUCCUCGUCCUCCUCCACUUCGUUCUGAUGAUCUGCGUCACUCUUCUCCUUCACCUCUGCUUCCUUUUGAGCGACUUCCGUGGCAUCAUCUGCAGGCUUCUCUGGGCCUCCGCCUGGCUUCCCCUGGGUGGACGGGAAUCAGGAGAAAGAGGUGGAUGGUUGAAGUUUCAGCAGAGACACACGGGCUGCAGACGUAAGGUUGCUGAAGUGUGGUAGUGCAGGACUCAGGAGGAAAAAAUAAAGGGAGUCUGCUCGCUCGGCUGGGCUGCCUCCAGGCCCAAGUCAGAGGCAAUUCCCUAAGGGCUCCCAGCCGGGAGGUGGCUCACCCCCUCCCUUGAGCAGGGCACAUACCUUUUUUGUUCCACCUUUCAGCUCCUCUAUCAAUCGGAUCAAGUCUGCAGGACUCCGGAUGACUUUGACCUGCACGUUGUUCUGAAAAUCUGCGAUGAAAGAGCAGGAAUGGACCAGGCAAUUUACUGGAGACAAGAGACGAUUCGCAUCACGGACUUUUAAGCAGAUACAACACUCGCGCUCAUCACAAUAGCAACAGGAGGAGGCGGCUACAAAAUUGUCACAGGAGUACAGUGUGCACUAUGGCUUGUUUUAUGCCCUUAUGAUUUACCACUGCAUCCUCAGGGUGUGUUUACAGUUCUCUCCACUGUGAAUAAUGCCAGGUAUGGUUUAAAGUGCGUGCAUAGGUUUUGAUAAAUUUUAAGAUUUUAUGAUAGAUCUGUGAAUGUUUUAUGGUGGCAAAUAAUAAAAUAGACUACUACCUA